AUUGAACGCUGGCGGCAUGCUUUACACAUGCAAGUCGAACGGUAACAGGGAGCUUGCUCCGCUGACGAGUGGCGAACGGGUGAGUAAUGCGUCGGAACGUGCCGAGUAGUGGGGGAUAACGCAUCGAAAGGUGUGCUAAUACCGCAUACGAACUGAGGUUGAAAGUGGGGGACCUUCGGGCCUCACGCUAUUCGAGCGGCCGACGUCUGAUUAGCUAGUUGGUGAGGUAAAGGCUCACCAAGGCGACGAUCAGUAGCGGGUCUGAGAGGAUGAUCCGCCACACUGGGACUGAGACACGGCCCAGACUCCUACGGGAGGCAGUAGUGGGGAAUUUUGGACAAUGGGCGCAAGCCUGAUCCAGCCAUGCCGCGUGUCUGAAGAAGGCCUUCGGGUUGUAAAGGACUUUUGUCCGGGAGCAAAUGCUGGUGGCUAACAUCCACCGGAGCUGAGUGUACCGGAAGAAUAAGCACCGGCUAACUACGUGCCAGCCGCCGCAGUAAAAC
rnacentral:rRNA from 1 species